rnacentral:lncRNA from 1 species
AUAUGUUUUAAGGUUACCUCUUAGCCCGUCGAUUGUGACAUUUGUUAACCCGAUUGAUUCCAGGAUAGCAUCGGCCUUUGAACGCCAUUCCGGAUUAAGGCUUUGGAGAAUUUUACGGACAAGUUCCCGAUCCGUAAAUGUCUUUUAAGGGCGUGAAGAUCAUUGACGAUUUUUGAAAAUCGUUCAAACAUGUCGUCUAUUUUCUCA